UACGUAGGGGGCUAGCGUUGUCCGGAAUCAUUGGGCGUAAAGCGCGCGUAGGCGGCCAGAUAAGUCCGGUGUGAAAGUCACAGGCUCAACCUGUGAAUGCCGCUGGAAACUGUCUGGCUAGAGUCCGGAAGGGGCGAGUGGAAUUCCUGGUGUAGCGGUGAAAUGCGCAGAUAUCAGGAGGAACACCGAUGGCGAAGGCAGCUCUCUGGUACGUGACUGACACUGAGACGCGAAAGCGUGGGGAGCGAACAGG
rnacentral:rRNA from 1 species